UACGUAGGGUGCAAGCGUUGUCCGGAAUUAUUGGGCGUAAAGAGCUCGUAGGCGGUUUGUCGCGUCGUGCUGUGAAAACGCGAGGCUCAACCUCGCGCCUGCAGUGGGUACGGGCAGACUAGAGUGCGGUAGGGGAGAUUGGAAUUCCUGGUGUAAGCGGUGGAAUGCGCAGAUAUCAGGAGGAACACCGGAUGGCGAAGGCAGAUCUCUGGGCCGUAACUGACGCUGAGGAGCGAAAGCGUGGGGAGCGAACAGG
rnacentral:rRNA from 1 species